GUCCUGAUAGCUUAACAUUAAAGCAUUGGUCUUGUAAACCAAAGAUUGUGGGUUAGAACCUACUCAAGACU
rnacentral:tRNA from 1 species